GGAAGGAAUCGUUCCCCGGUGGGACGGACGGUCUUCAAAACCGUCAGGACCUGUCAAACAGGUUUGGGUAGGUUCGACUCCUGCUUCCUUCCGCCA
rnacentral:tRNA from 1 species